rnacentral:rRNA from 1 species
UACGGUUACCUUGUUACGACUUAGUCCCCAUCACGGGUUUCAUCUUCGGCGCCUGCCUUUCGGCUCCGACGACUUCGGAUGCCCCCCGCUUUGGUGGCUUGACGGGCGGUGUGUACAAGGCUCAGGAACACAUUCACCGCCGCAGUGCUGAUCGGCGAUUACUAGCGAUUCCGGCUUCAUGCGGGCGGGUUGCAGCCCGCAAUCCGAACUGGGGGACGGUUUUUGCGAUUGGCGCGGCCUUGCGGCCUGGCGACGCUCUGUCCGCCCCAUUGUAGCACGUGUGCAGCCCUGGGCAUGAGGGCCAUGAUGACUUGACGUCGUCCCCGCCUUCCUCCGGCUUAACGCCGGCGGUCUGAUCAGAGUCCCCGCCAUGACGCGCUGGCAACUGAUCACAGGGGUUUCGCUCGUUACGGGACUUAACCCAACACCUCACGGCACGAGCUGACGACAGCCAUGCAGCACCUGUGCACGUUCCACCUUGCGGCGUCACCGACGUUUCCGCCGGCUAAUCCGUGCAUGUCAAGCCCAGGAUAAGGUUCUUCGCGUAGCCUCGAAUUAAGCCACAUGCUCCACCGCUUGUGUGAGCCCCCGUCAAUUCCUUUGAGUUUCAGCCUUGCGACCAUACCCCCCAGGCGGGGCACUUCACGGUUUCCCUGCGGCAGGGAGCCCAUCGGCGAGCCCCCUACCCAGUGCCCAUCGUUUACAGCUAGGACUACCGGGGGUAUCUAAUCCCGGUUCGCUCCCCUAGCUUUUCGCGUCUCAGCCGUCAGUAGACGUCCAGGACCUCGCCUUUUCGCCACGGGGCGUUUCCUUCCCGAUCUCAACGGCAUUUUCACCCGCUCCACCGGGAAGUUUCCAGGUCCCCCCUACGUCCCUCCCAGACGGGGUCGUUUCGGUGCCAGUUCCCCGGUUGAGCCGGGGGCUUUCAACAACCGACGUUCCCAUCCGCCUACACGCGCUUUAAGACCAGUGAUUCCGAAUAACGUUCGCACGGUUCGUCUUACCGCGGCUGCUGGCACGAACUUAGCCCGUGCUUCCUCCAGGGAUCGGUCAAGCCGGUUACCCGACCUUCUUCCCCCUCGACAGGAGUUUACAACACGAAGGCCUUCAUCCUCCACGCGGCGUCGCUCGGUCAGGCUUGCGCCCAUUGCCGAAGAUUCUCGACUGCAGCCUCCCGUAGGAGUCUGGGCAGUGUCUCAGUCCCAGUGUGCCGGGCCACGCUCGCACGCCCGGUAGGCAUCAUAGGCUUGGUGGGCCAUUACCCCGCCAACGACCUAAUACCACGACGGCUCGUCCCACGGCGCCAGGACUUUGGUCCGAUUCGGAUGCCCGAUCCGGACGUCGCUGGGGAUUACCCGCAGUUUCCCGCGGCUAUACCCAACCAUGGGGUUGAUUACCGUCGCCUUACUCACCCUUCCGCCACUGGCCUUGCGGCCCGUUCGACUUGCAUGCCUAAUCCACGCCGCCAACGUUCAUUCUGAGCCAUGAUCAAACUCU